rnacentral:rRNA from 1 species
UAAACCAGGAUUAGAUACCCUAUUAUUCUUUAGUAAAAUUCUCUUAAGGUAGUAGUUGUUAAGAUCUUGAAACCUAAAGGAUAUGGCGGUAUUUAAUAAAAUCAGAGGAACCUGUCCUAUAAGCGAUACCCCACGAUAAAUCUUACCUUUUUUGGUUUGUAUACCGUUGUCUAGAUUUCUUUAAAAGAAGAAGUUUAAAUCAGCUAUUAAUAGGUCAGAUCCAGGCGCAGCUUAAAAAGGCAGAGAUGGGUUACAAUUUACCAAAAUUGGGGGUGAAUUUUAAUUUUUUACCUAAAUAGGAUUUGAAAGUAAUUUGAGUUAAUAAG